rnacentral:rRNA from 1 species
UACGGAGGGGGCUAGCGUUGUUCGGAAUUACUGGGCGUAAAGCGCACGUAGGCGGCUUUGUAAGUUAGAGGUGAAAGCCCGGGGCUCAACUCCGGAAUUGCCUUUAAGACUGCAUCGCUAGAAUUGUGGAGAGGUAAGUGGAAUUCCGAGUGUAGAGGUGAAAUUCGUAGAUAUUCGGAAGAACACCGGUGGCGAAGGCGGCAUCCUGGACCAUUACUGACGCUGAGGAGCGAAAGCCAGGGGAGCAAACGGG